rnacentral:rRNA from 1 species
GCCUAGGGGCGCAGCAGUGAGGAAUAUUGGUCAAUGGUCGGGAGACUGAACCAGCCAAGCCGCGUGAGGGAGGAAGGUACAGAGUAUCGUAAACCUCUUUUGUCAGGGGACAAAGACUGGGACGCGUCCCCGGAUGAGUGUACCUGAAGAAAAAGCAUCGGCUAACUCCGUGCCAGCAGCCGCGGUAAUACGGAGGAUGCGAGCGUUAUCCGGAUUUAUUGGGUUUAAAGGGUGCGCAGGCGGUCUGUUAAGACAGCGGUCAAAGCCCGGGGCUCAACACCGGCCCGCCGUUGAAACUGGCAGUC